ACUAAAACUAGCCUGUCCACCCAACAAACCAAACUACCCUAAAUACUAAAAUAAAACAUUCAACUAUUAACCUUAAAAGUAUAGGAGAUAGAAAGUUUACUCAGCGCCAUAGAGACAGUACCGCAAGGGAAAGAUGAAAGAUAAUUUAAUAGUACAAAACUGCAAAGAUUAACCCUUGUACCUUUUGCAUAAUGAAUUAACUAGAACAAGCCUGACAAAGAGAACUGUAGCCAGGAACCCCGAAACCGGACGAGCUACCUACGAGCAGUUUUCAGAACCAACCCGUCUAUGUAGCAAAAUAGUGGGAAGACUUGUAGGUAGGGGUGAAAAGCCAACCGAGCCCGGUGAUAGCUGGUUAUCCAGAAUAGAAUUUUAGUUCGACCUAAAACUUACCAAACAAACACACAAUUCACCUGUAAGUUUUAGAUAUACUCAAAAGAGGUACAGCUCUUUUGAUGCAGGAUACAACCUUAAUUAGAGAGUAAUCCAACUACUAAUUCCAGUUGGCCUAAAAGCAGCCACCAAUUAAGAAAGCGUUAAAGCUCAAAAAUAAACAACAAAUUACAAAAAUACCAAAAACAACAACUAACUCCUAAAAUAAGUACUGGAUCAAUCUAUUAGUACAUAGAAGAAAUAAUGUUAAUAUAAGUAACAAGAAAAUUUUUCUCCCACGCAUGAACUUAUAUCAGAAAAUGCCAACUGACAGUUAACACAUAAUAUACUACCACCACCAAAACAACACUUAUUAGACAAACUGUUAACCCAACCCAGGCAUGCUUCUAUAAGGGAAAGAUUAAAAGAGAUAAAAGGAACUCAGCAAACACAAGCCCCGCCUGUUUACCAAAAACAUCGCCUUAAGCAUAGCAAGUAUUUAAGGUACUGCCUGCCCAGUGACACAUGUUAAACGGCCGCGGUACUCUGACCGUGCGAAGGUAGCAUAAUCACUUGUUCCUUAAUUAGGGACUGGUAUGAACGGCCACACGAGGGCUAAACUGUCUCUUAUCUCCAAUCAGCGAAAUUGACCUCCCCGUGAAGAGGCGGGGACAAAAAUAUAAGACGAGAAGACCCCAUGGAGCUUCAAUUAACUAAUUCAAUUAUAAAAACACAAAUCCAAGGACAUAAAAAAAAUAUUAAUGAAUUAGCAAUUUUGGUUGGGGUGACCUCGGAGAACAAAAAACCCUCCGAAUGACAUAGACCUAGGCUUAACUAGCCAAAGUACCAAAUCAUCUAUUGACCCAAUAUAUUGAUCAACGGAACAAGUUACCCUGGGGAUAACAGCGCAAUCCUAUUCUAGAGUCCCUAUCGACAAUAGGGUUUACGACCUCGAUGUUGGAUCAGGGCAUCCCAUUGGUGUAGCCGCUAUUAAAGGUUCGUUUGUUCAACGAUUAAAGCCCUACGUGAUCUGAGUUCAGACCGGAGCAAUCCAGGUCGGUUUCUAUCUAUACCCAUUUUCUCCCAGUACGAAAGGACAAGAGAAACAAGGCCUACUAAUAAAUCAGCGCCUUAGCCUAAUUUAUGAAAUAAUCUUAACCCCUACAAGCAGGACAAUUAAGUCCGAGACAAGGGCUUCGUUGGGG
rnacentral:rRNA from 1 species